rnacentral:hammerhead_ribozyme from 1 species
GCACUGCCGAGGAGUCUCACAAUAGAACGAAAUGGCCGUCCAGUAC